rnacentral:tRNA from 1 species
AUGUCUAUAGCUUAAUAGGAUAAAGUAUUAAAUUGCGAAUUUGACGAUUGAAAGUUCAAAUCUUUCUAGACAUA